rnacentral:rRNA from 1 species
GAUGAACGCUAGCUACAGGCUUAACACAUGCAAGUCGAGGGGUAGCAGGGUAGCAAUACCGCUGACGACCGGCGCACGGGUGAGUAACACGUAUCCAACCUUCCCAUAACUCGGGGAUAGCCUUUCGAACGAAAGAUUAAUACCCGAUAGUACGUAUUUAAGGCAUCUUAUUUAAGUUAAAGAUUUAUUGGUUAUGGAUGGGGAUGCGUUCCAUUAGAUAGUUGGUGAGGUAACGGCUCACCAAGUCUGCGAUGGAUAGGGGUUCUGAGAGGAAGGUCCCCCACAUUGGUACUGAGACACGGACCAAACUCCUACGGGAGGCAGCAGUGAGGAAUAUUGGUCAAUGGGCGAGAGCCUGAACCAGCCAAGUAGCGUGAAGGAUGAAGGUCCUAUGGAUUGUAAACUUCUUUUAUAGUAGAAUAAAGUUAGCCACGUGUGGUUAUUUGCAUGUAUGCUAUGAAUAAGGAUCGGCUAACUCCGUGCCAGCAGCCGCCGUAA